UGUCCAGGGAUGGGAAUCGAACCCACAGUGUUCCGCUUACCGGGCAGAUGCCAUGUCCACUAAGCUACCCCUGGAC